rnacentral:tRNA from 1 species
CAAAAUAAUAUAAUUUACAAUACUAAUUAAUCUUAUCACAAAAUAAUUAGCUACUAAUUACUUUACUAUAUAUAGAAUCACUAUAUAAUUAAAUCCUAAAUUUAAUGCAUAUUAUCUGCCAAAAUAGC